rnacentral:lncRNA from 1 species
AUGCCCUGGGGUCGCCACAGGGAAGAUCCGGGUCAUCUUGUUCAACAGGAGAGACUAUCUCUGUCAUUUGUGGAAAGGGAGCCAUAUCACCUAUUGAUGGGCUGUGUCAUACUGUCUGUAACUGUGCUGGAUUAUUCCUCUAUUGACUACCAACUACCUAGGAAAUGGGUCUCACAUGUGGUGGUGAUGUUUGCCAAGAAUGAUUGCAAAUGGGAUUGCAUCCAAACUGGUCAACCCAGAAGAGCGGGAAGCUGGCCUGAGACUGGCAAAAUAAAAAGGACAAGAUCCUCCAAUGAUUUGAAGAAAGGAUUGAAAGUGCAAUGGAGAACAGCUGUGUCAUGCUGUGGCUAGAACAUGCUCAGCACAGGGUUUGGGCUAUUCAGAACUGUUAUCAACCUAUGUUAAAGUAAGAGAUAGAGAUCUUCUGGACCAGCCUCUCCCCCUCCUAUGGAUAUACUCAGAGCUCCUGGCUUCCAGAACACCAUCGUUUCCCAUCCUCUGUGAUGUAUAAUGCUCCUUAUGUUCUUGUGUACAAGCCUGUGAAAAGCCUCAGAGAUCCACUGGCCAAAUGCUGAGGGACAAAUAUGAGAGUUCCUUCCUUGGACUCAAAGAUGGAGGUCCAUUUCCCCACUUUGAUCAGUUGUUUUUACUUCUUCCUUCUGGAAUUAAUUAAGAAUCAUCCUGCCUUAUUCUAUCUUCAUUAUUCCCUCAAAUGAUAUAAUAAGAUGUUCCCUCAAGCAGAGGGAUUCUUGUGUGCAGUCUUAGAUCCAGCAGUUUGGAGACCAGCAGAAUUGAUUAAGCUUAGCAUUGGAGAUUGGAUUAGACAGAAGUCUUACUACCUUAUCAACAAAAUGUAAAAUAAAUAAUUUUGACUACAUCA